rnacentral:tRNA from 1 species
GCCGGUUUAGCUCAGUUGGUAGAGCAUCUGCCCUGUAAGCAGAGGGUCGCUGGUUCGAUGCCGGCAACCGGCUCCA